rnacentral:rRNA from 1 species
GACAGAGGAGGCAAGCGUUGUUCGGAAUCAUUGGGCUUAAAGGGCGUGCAGGCGGCGGCGCAAGUGUCGUGUGAAAUCCCAUCGCUCAACGAUGGAACGGCUCGGCAAACUGCGUCGCUUGAGGUCGGUAGAGGUGCUCGGAACUCUAGGUGGAGCGGUGAAAUGCGUAGAUAUCUAGAGGAACGCCUGAGGCGAAAGCGGGGCACUGGGCCGAUUCUGACGCUGAGACGCGAAAGCGUGGGGAGCAAACAGG